rnacentral:rRNA from 1 species
UGGUGGAGCGAUUUGUCUGGUUAAUUCCGUUAACGAACGAGACCCCUGCCUGCUAAAUAGUCUGGUGAAUGAGUAUUCAUUGACUCGGACUUCUUAGAGGGACUUUCGGUGACUAACUGAAGGAAGUUGGGGCAAUAACA